CCUACGGAGGGCAGCAGUGGGGAAUAUUGGACAAUGGGCGAAAGCCUGAUCCAGCCAUGCCGCGUGUGUGAAGAAGGCCUUCGGGUUGUAAAGCACUUUCAGUGGGGAAGAAAGCCUUGGGGCUAAUACCCUCGAGGAAGGACAUCACCAACAGAAGAAGCACCGGCUAACUCCGUGCCAGCAGCCGCGGUAAUACGGAGGGUGCGAGCGUUAAUCGGAAUUACUGGGCGUAAAGCGCGCGUAGGCGGUCUGAUAAGCCGGUUGUGAAAGCCCCGGGCUCAACCUGGGAACGGCAUCCGGAACUGUCAGGCUAGAGUGCAGGAGAGGAAGGUAGAAUUCCCGGUGUAGCAGUGAAAUGCGUAGAGAUCGGGAGGAAUACCAGUGGCGAAGGCAGCCUUCUGGACUGACACUGACGCUGAGGUGCGAAAGCGUGGGUAGCAAACAGGAUUAGAUACCCCUGUAGUC
rnacentral:rRNA from 1 species